rnacentral:rRNA from 1 species
GUCUACGGCCAUGCCACCCUGAACAAGCCCGAUCCCAUCUGAUCUCGGAAGCUAAGCAGGGUCAGGCCUCGUUAGUACUUGGAUGGGAGACCACCUAGGAAGCCCAGAUACUGUAGGUG